CCAUAGUUAUUUAUCCUGGUUCUUGAAUCCUGAUAUUGUUCCAAAGUUAACUGAGGUGGUUGAGGUGAUUAGGCAAUCUGACAAUGGUAUGGUCCAGCACUGGGUUGACGAGUUAGACCGUGACAUUACUGCGGUUGAAGUACAUGUGGCAUUGAGUAAAU